rnacentral:tRNA from 1 species
AAUUAUGUAUUCAAAAUGAUUUUAAAUUGCAAAUUUAAAGGUGGAUGAACUUCCCAUAGUUA